rnacentral:rRNA from 1 species
UUGGGCACUCUAGCGAGACUGCCGGUAAUAAACCGGAGGAAGGUGGGGAGUGACGUCAAAUCAUCAUGCCCCUUACUGACCUGGGCUACACACGUGCUACAAUGGUUGGUACAACGAGUUGCGAGUCGGUGACGGCGGAGCUAAUACUCUUAAAGCCAAUCUCAGUUCGGAUUGUAGGCUGCAACUCGCCUACAUGAAGUCGGAAUCGCUAGUAAUCGCGGAUCAGCACGCCGCGGUCGAAUACGUUCCCGGGCCUU